AUUGAACGCUGGCGGCAGGCCUAACACAUGCAAGUCGAGCGGAUGAAGGGAGCUUGCUCGUGGAUUCAGCGGCGGACGGGUGGGUAAUGCCUAGGAAUCUGCCUGGUUGUGGGUUAUAACGUCCGGAAACGGGCGCUAAUACCGCAUACGUGCUGAGGAAGAAAGUGGGGGAUCUUCGGACCUCACGCUAUCAGGUGAUCCUAGGUCGGGUUGUCUAGUUUGUGGGGUAAAGGCCUACCCAGGCGACGAUCCGUAACUGGUCUGAGAGGAUGAUCAGUCCACCUGGAACUGAGAAAACGUCCCGACUCCUAAGGGAGGGAGCAGUUGGGAAUAUUUGACAAUGGGGGGAAGCCUUAUCCAGGCAUGACGGGGGUGUGAAGAAGGUCUUCCGAUUGGAAAGCCCUUUUAGUUGGGAGGAAGGGCAGUAAGUUAAUACCUUGCUGUUUUGAAGGUAACAAAAGAAUAAGCCACGGCUAACUUCGUG
rnacentral:rRNA from 1 species